GAUCAUGGCUCAGGACGAACGCUGGCGGCAUGCCUAACACAUGCAAGUCGAACGGGGAUACAAGAGCUUGCUUUUGUAUCUUAGUGGCGGACAGGCGAGUAACGCGUGAGCAACCUGCCCUUCAGUGGGGAAUAACGUCUGGAAACGGACGCUAAUACCGCAUAACACAACGAAGCCGCAUGACUUUGUUGUCAAAGGAUUUAUUCGCUGAAGGAUGGGCUCGCGUCCGAUUAG
rnacentral:rRNA from 1 species